GAUGAAGAACGCAGCGAAACGCGAUAAGUAAUGUGAAUUGCAGAGUCCAGUGAAUCAUCGAAUCUUUGAACGCACAUUGCGCCCGCCAGCAUUCUGGCGGGCAUGCCUGUUCGAGCGUCAUUUCAACCCUCGACCUCCCCUUGGGGAGGUCGGCGUUGGGGACCGGCAGCACACCGCCGGCCCUGAAAUGGAGUGGCGGCCCGUCCGCGGCGACCUCUGCGCAGUAAUACAGCUCGCACCGGGACCCCGACGCGGCCACGCCGUAAAACACCCAACUUCUGAACGUUGACCUCGAAUCAGGUAGGACUACCCGCUGAACUUAAGCAUAUCAAUAAGCGGAGGA
rnacentral:misc_RNA from 1 species